rnacentral:rRNA from 1 species
UGGGGAAUAUUGGACAAUGGGCGAAAGCCUGAUCCAGCCAUGCCGCGUGAGUGAUGAAGGCCCUAGGGUUGUAAAGCUCUUUCAGUGGGGAAGAUAAUGACGGUACCCACAGAAGAAGCCCCGGCUAACUUCGUGCCAGCAGCCGCGGUAAUACGAAGGGGGCUAGCGUUGUUCGGAAUUACUGGGCGUAAAGCGCACGUAGGCGGAUCAGUCAGUUAGGGGUGAAAUCCCAGGGCUCAACCCUGGAACUGCCUUUAAUACUGCUGAUCUAGAGUUCGAGAGAGGUGAGUGGAAUUCCGAGUGUAGAGGUGAAAUUCGUAGAUAUUCGGAGGAACACCAGUGGCGAAGGCGGCUCACUGGCGCGAUACUGACGCUGAGGUGCGAAAGCGUGGGGAGCAAACA